GCUUAUUUUAUCCAGGAGUUCUAGGUAAGACCACUUUUUCAAAUAUCCUCUGAACGUUGACUUAGGUGCACACACCUGUGCUUCCAUUGGCAACAAAAGCUUUGAAUGCACAGGACUUCCACGGCAUGAAAUGCAUUUACAUACAUUACAUAAGAGAGAAGCAAUGAGCAAGUCUGUUGCUGGGAGAGGCUCACAUCCUUCUCACCAAAUCAAUCUGUAACUUUCAAAUAGCUCUGCUGUAUUUCCUAGCAACAGGAGUAAACACUGUACUACAUCCAGUGCCCAAGAUUUGUAACCACGUUAAUCUGUUAGAAGCCUAGAUGUGUGACUGGAGAUGCCUCCUGUCCAUUCAAUCUGACUCCAAUGUGGUUCUGCAGCACUGGACAAAGAUGGGAGAUUGAAACAGGAGCCCCUGCGAUGGGGGAACAGAGCCAGGGAGCAGGGGUUGGACAGAACCCAGGUUUGAGAAAACAACCUUGUGAACCUUCUAUUGGAGCAGCAAUAAAGAUCUGAGCUAAGUGUCGAGGGAGGCUGAGGAGGUGGUCACUAAGUCUGUCUUAGGCAUCCCAGGGUCUCCUCAGAGUCCAAGCCUGAAGUCCACUGCAGGGGUCACCAGCCACCUGUGGCCACAUUGGAAUGUGGCCAUUCUGAAUUGAGGUAAGUAAAAAACAUACACCAAAUUUCAAAGAUGUAAUAUGGGAAAAAAAGAAUGUAAGGUACUUGGUUAAUGAUUUUUUAUAUGGAUUACAUAUGGAAAUGCUACCAUUUUGGCUAUAUUGGGUAAGAUAUAUUAUUAAAAUUGAUGUCACCUGUUCCCUUUUACUUUUUUAAGCGCGCCUGCUAUAAAAUAUGAAAUUGCCUGCAUGGCUCCCAUUCAUGGAUCCUAUUACAUUUCUAUCUGCCAGUGUAGGUUGGUGCAGUCACAAGACAAUGCUUCAGGAGAAAAUCUGGGGAGGCGGUCUCAGGGCAAGAGGGUGAGUGGGGGAAAUGCCUAUGGAAUGAGAAAGAGACAACAGGGGGACCGACCCAUCAAGGGCUACAAAGAAGGUGAAUUUGCUUUCUGAGUUGUGCUUGCCUGCCGGACUCAUUUGCAGCAAGAGAGACCAGAAUAUAAAGGCCACGAUAAUAACAUCUCAAAUAAAUUAGAAGCAGCUUGUGGUUUAUAGUGAGCAAUGCUCUACUGGGGACCAGACCAAGCAGUUACCCCUGUCUUCACUCCAUCUGUGGUUAAGUCAUUUGGUCACUGUUGCCUUCUCAUCUGCAAAGCGGGGACUGAGAUUAACUGCUUGGCCUGCAUAUCCCCCUGACUCUGUCAACUAAGUUUUCGGAAACCUGAAGCACUCUAAACAUCCUGGGGGAAGAAAGGGCUGGAGAAACAUACAAUGUUUUGUGAUCAGAGUUUUUAAGCUGAAAAGAAUGAAGAAACUUGAAUAGAAUAAAUUCUUGAUACUUCCUUUUUCAUAACACUUACCACGCUUUAUUUCGAUUAUUUAUUAGCCCCCUUCCUAGCUAGAUAUAAGCUAGCUAUAAAUACCAUGAGCUCAGGACCCACAUCUGUCUGCUCACUGCUGUGACCGCAACUUAGAGGACAGAGCCCAGAAUACAGGCCUCAAUAAAUACUGUGGAAGAGGGGUCACAUGGAGAAUUUGCAGUCAUUUUUGCUGUUGAGCAUCUGUUAAGUUAAAGUUUCCAAGUGUGCAAACUGUACUCGGAAAUGAGUAAGAAGUAGAAACUUACCUAGAGAUGAUCAAACCAGUAGUGCUGUCACUCUAAUGAUGUUAUCUGUCCCACUGUGAAAACAUUGUCACAGGUGAAGGAGGAGAGUGAGGUGAGACCUUCCCAGCCCUUGACUGCUCUUGCACUGGACACAUUCCAGGAAGCUCUUGUGGCAGAAGCAGCCACUUAACUUACUUUUAACAAGAGAAGCUGAAGGCUGAGGGAAGUCAGGACCAACAGAGGAUCCAAAUUUCAGUGGCACAAGUCUUAAGCUUCAUUUGGUUGCAUGAAUGAGUGCGGAAGCAGCAUGAAGUAGUGGUGAUACAAACCUGGGUUCUGUGUUUAAUUCUAUUCUCAGUACUUUCCCAGUGGGAGACUGUGAGUUCCCUCUCUGAACCUCGUUCUCCUCCAUGGCUUAAAACUGGACUCAUAAUGCAUGGCUUAGCUAUAAUGUACCUUUCAAAAAGGGCUGGCAUCCGGUAAACACUGAAUAAAUGGUUACAUGUCAAACACAGUAAACAUUCAACAAUGGCUAAUAUCUUCCUUCUGCAUCAGCUUUUAAAACAGAUUUUUUAACCUGGAGUCCAAGGAGUCCCAGGAAAUCCACAGACGAGAUUCAAUGGAUCCUUGAAAUCCCUAAAAUUAAAUACAAAGCGGGGUAUGUGUGGACAUCUUUUCUCUUCAAGGAAAGAAUCCAUAGCUUUCAUAUGAUGCUCUUAAGACUCUCAGACUGAAAACAGUUUAAGAACUAUUGAGUUUCUGUGGCUUCCAAAGUGUUUAGCUCCUUCUAUUUAUCUAUGGAAUAGCUCUGUGAAUGACUCUCAAAACCAAGCUUUUCUGUGCCUCCUCAAGAGGCCUGCAUUUUAUAUGCAGCAGUACAACUUCCUUCCAUAAGACGCUUUUAUUUUCUGGCAGCAGCAGUAUCACAGGAAGAUGACUGGAAUUUAUAAGUAAGAAACUGAUCUUAAUUUCAACAAUAGUACUGGAGCCCUUACCUCUUUAAAUACACCUUUUUCCAUAGUUUUUUUUUUUAUAGGAUUGAUGACCAAAGAAGGCAGCUAUAAUGUUUUAUUCUCAAGAUGAUGGUUACUCAUCUUAGAAUAAAAACAACAACAACAAAAAAUAACAGAUGAAUGGGAAGAGCCCAAUCAAAGCUUUAUUCUACUCCUCAACAACUCAGGAGUUAAGCCUAAAGCUGCAGAUGAAAAUUUUGCCACCAUGAAGAAAAGAAGAAAUCAGAAUUGGAUUCUUUCUGAACUUUUCCUUUACAGUAGCCAGUAUAUGCCCUUUCCUACUUGAGCAAGUAUAAACUGGGUUUCUGUGAUUUGCAACCAAGUGUCCUGACAAACACAAGGAUGAAAGACAACUGUGUCUCAAUAAAGGAAAAAUAGUUUAUUUUUAUGAGUGGUGGAUUUAAAAAACCUACAUUACUGUGACAAGAGUACCUUAAAACAUUUAAGUCUACAAAAGGCACUUAGGGACUUUAUAGCAAACUCUACACUUAUAAUGAAAAGCCAGACCAGAUCAUUUUAAAAAAACGUUACUGCACGAGAUAAUGGCACAUCCACUCGUUCAAUUAACAUUUAUUGAGUGUCUUCAGGGGUUUUAGACUUGUGCAAUAAAAAUGAUAAAAACGUAUUCUUUGGUUUGAGCUGGUCCAUCCAAGGUCGUUCCAUAAAGAGCAGCUGUGUAUGCUGUUCAGACUAAUUGUGUGAAGCUGGAGAGGCCAGGUGUUUCUGUCUGGCCCAGCAGCUGCACUUUGCGGUAAGGGCACCACCUGAAUUUCAGUCUGGCCAUAAAAUGAGGCUGAAGAAACAGCACCUUGCAUGAGCUUUUAGGUGAAAGGCAGAACAG
rnacentral:lncRNA from 1 species